GAAGGGUGCAAGCGUUACUCGGAAUUACUGGGCGUAAAGCGUGCGUAGGCGGUUCGUUAAGUCCGAUGUGAAAGCCCUGGGCUCAACCUGGGAACUGCAUUGGAAACUGGCGGGCUGGAGUGCGGUAGAGGGUGGCGGAAUUCCCGGUGUAGCAGUGAAAUGCGUAGAUAUCGGGAGGAACACCCGUGGCGAAGGCGGCCACCUGGACCAGCACUGACGCUGAGGCACGAAAGCGUGGGGAGCAAACAGGAUUAGAUACCCUGGUAGUCCACGCCCUAAACGAUGCGAACUGGAUGUUGGGUGCAACUUGGCACUCAGUAUCGAAGCUAACGCGUUAAGUUCGCCGCCUGGGAAGUACGGUCGCAAGACUG
rnacentral:rRNA from 1 species